rnacentral:rRNA from 1 species
CAAUAGCGUAUAUUAAAGUUGUUGCAGUUAAAAAGCUCGUAGUUGGAUUUCUGGUUGAAGCGACCGGUCGGGCGUUGAUUCGUCUGCACUGGAGUCGGUUUUGGCCAUCCUCUAGGAAAGUGCGUCUGGUAUUAAGUUAUCGGGCGUAUGAUCCUGGUCUUUUACUGUGAAAAAAUUAGAGUGUUUAAAGCAGGCCUUCGCCUUGAAUACAUUAGCAUGGAAUAAUAAGAUAGGACUUUGGUCUAUUUUGUUGGUUUGCAGACCGAAGUAAUGAUUAAUAGGGAUAGUUGGGGGUAUUUAUAUUCCGAUGUCAGAGGUGAAAUUCUUAGAUUAUCGGAAGAUAAACUUAUGCGAAAGCAUUUACCAAGGAUGUUUUCAUUAA